GAUGCCAGGGUCAAAAGCCUGAAACCACGAUGUGCUUGCACAGGAGUGGUUUUAUGGCUUAAUGACCCGCCCCGAUAUAAGCAUAAAAGUGAAGUGUCAGCUUCACGAUAUGCGAAUAUUGGGAAGAAUUGUGGGAGUACGAAGUACGGAACAAUUCGUAUG
rnacentral:sRNA from 1 species